CAUAAACACUUGCAAGUCUCUGGGCAACUGCAAAACAUUUUGAUUUCAAGUCACAACUUUUAAGUGAAUUAAACCCACCUACCUGCCUGACGGUAGAAAGUACACAGAGAAAAUUUUAUGCAAUAGAAGUCAUGUACAAAUGAAGAAGACGUAAAAGAACAUCAAUACUUACAUUAUGGUUAAAURAAAAACCACAACAAGACGUGGAGGAAAAAGACGGUCAAGAAUGUUACUUUCUUCUACUUGAAUAUAAACUGCAACAU